rnacentral:lncRNA from 1 species
AACUUUGGACUCCACAUGUCAGUGUUUCUUGCUUUCAACUGACAGUAGAUCCUUUCAAAUGAGCAAGGGCUAUAAGUUGAUUGCUAAGCUUUAAUAUUCACUGGAGAAUUAUCACUUUUCUCUCUCAUUUCUCUCAGCUUCCUCACUGAUUUCUCAAGAGUUGGAAAAACAUAUUUCUCAAGAAGGAAUUCCCACAUGUACGAUGCCACCUACUCAGUCCCACACGGCAAGGCUGGCAAAUUCCAUUCAGUGAGGAAAGCAGGGAGUGAGCUGACAUGAGGACAUGUGAUUUCCUCAGACCUCACUGCCAAAAGCAACUGAACCAGUAAGCUGAGAGAGGACGCAUACUGUCAGAGAGACCCCAGGCUCCCAAGGGAGUGAACCAGGACCCAUGGAAGCCACGUCCUGACUGCCAAACAGGCAGCAUUGGCCACAUUUGGGUAAGAACAUGCUUUUACCUGUCUGUUUAUCUGGUCAUUUAGGAGGCUCAGCCACUCA